rnacentral:rRNA from 1 species
AACGAACGCUGGCGGCAUGCCUAAUACAUGCAAGUCGAACGAAGCCUUCGGGCUUAGUGGCGCACGGGUGCGUAACGCGUGGGAAUCUGCCCUUGGGUUCGGAAUAACAGUUAGAAAUGACUGCUAAUACCGGAUGAUGUCUUCGGACCAAAGAUUUAUCGCCCAAGGAUGAGCCCGCGUAGGAUUAGGUAGUUGGUGGGGUAAUGGCCCACCAAGCCGACGAUCCUUAGCUGGUCUGAGAGGAUGAUCAGCCGCACUGGGACUGAGACACGGCCCAGACUCCUACGGGAGGCAGCAGUGGGGAAUAUUGGACAAUGGGCGAAAGCCUGAUCCAGCAAUGCCGCGUGAGUGAUGAAGGCCUUAGGGUUGUAAAGCUCUUUUACCAGGGAUGAUAAUGACAGUACCUGGAGAAUAAGCUCCGGCUAACUCCGUGCCAGCAGCCGCAGUAA